GUGCUGCAUCAUGAUUUACAUUUGAGUGAGUGGCGAACUGGUGAGUAACACGUGGGAAACCUGCCCAGAAGCGGGGGAUAACACCUGGAAACAGAUGCUAAUACCGCAUAACAACUUGGACCGCAUGGUCCGAGUUUGAAAGAUGGCUUCGGCUAUCACUUUUGGAUGGUCCCGCGGCGUAUUAGCUAGAUGGUGAGGUAACGGCUCACCAUGGCAAUGAUACGUAGCCGACCUGAGAGGGUAAUCGGCCACAUUGGGACUGAGACACGGCCCAAACUCCUACGGGAGGCAGCAGUAGGGAAUCUUCCACAAUGGACGAAAGUCUGAUGGAGCAACGCCGCGUGAGUGAAGAAGGGUUUCGGCUCGUAAAACUCUGUUGUUAAAGAAGAACAUAUCUGAGAGUAACUGUUCAGGUAUUGACGGUAUUUAACCAGAAAGCCACGGCUAACUACGUGCCAGCAGCCGCGGUAAUACGUAGGUGGCAAGCGUUGUCCGGAUUUAUUGGGCGUAAAGCGAGCGCAGGCGGUUUUUUAAGUCUGAUGUGAAAGCCUUCGGCUCAACCGAAGAAGUGCAUCGGAAACUGGGAAACUUGAGUGCAGAAGAGGACAGUGGAACUCCAUGUGUAGCGGUGAAAUGCGUAGAUAUAUGGAAGAACACCAGUGGCGAAGGCGGCUGUCUGGUCUGUAACUGACGCUGAGGCUCGAAAGUAUGGGUAGCAAACAGGAUUAGAUACCCUGGUAGUCCAUACCGUAAACGAUGAAUGCUAAGUGUUGGAGGGUUUCCGCCCUUCAGUGCUGCAGCUAACGCAUUAAGCAUUCCGCCUGGGGAGUACGGCCGCAAGGCUGAAACUCAAAGGAAUUGACGGGGGCCCGCACAAGCGGUGGAGCAUGUGGUUUAAUUCGAAGCUACGCGAAGAACCUUACCAGGUCUUGACAUACUAUGCAAAUCUAAGAGAUUAGACGUUCCCUUCGGGGACAUGGAUACAGGUGGUGCAUGGUGUCGUCAGCU
rnacentral:rRNA from 2 species